GACAUGGCAUUUGGAUUUGGCCCAACCGUCUCCAAGAGCCAACCCAUUCAGUAUCUGUGGGCCUGUUAACAGCACUCGGCCCAAAUAAUUGGAAGGCCCAUCCAACCACCCUGCUCCCCACCACGCUCGCAGCUGCCUGCCUGCUCUGCUCGACUCCUCCCCACCGCCGGCCGCCAGUAACACCCGGCUCCCCCCGCCGAGACGCCUGCCCACGCUGCCUGCUAGGCCCGUGCCUCCGUCGUGGACCCACCUGUGGCUGAGGCUUGACCCUGCGUUGAUCGCCCUCCUGCAACGCCCAGCGGCGCCCACGAACCGCAGUGAUGGAAGGCCAAGACGCGGUGCAGGGUCUUGGUCCAAGCGUGAAGGCUAACCUGGUUCUUGGAGCAGAAUCGUUUGCCAUCAGCUCUGAGUCCGGUAUCCUAUCUGAGCAGCUGUCCACGAUGAAGGAGAAGAGCAUGGUGAUUCUCAAGGAAUACAUCACCAAGCACAAUGCUCCAAACGAUGUCCCUGACGAGUCCACUGAAGGCGAAUCUGAUGACGAGGGUGAAGCACUAGUCAAGAACCCCCCCAAGAAAUCUAAGAGGCAGAAGUGACCAUCCUGAGUUCAUCUGAUUCAUUGCAAGGCACGGCUACUGUAUCUUUAGCUAUGCUUUUGAUAUAGAAAGAUCAGAUUACUGUUUGGCACAUCUUGCUUGUGUAAGACUGGAUAGUUGUCAGCCACAACCAGCAGGUGUAAGAGCUUGGUGCUCAUGUCAUGCAAUUAUGCCUCUCUCGCUCUCUGUUAUCAUUUCAUAUUUUCUUGCCCUGGACAAUGCGUUGGUAACCCUUAUCCUUUUGUCCUUGUGCUGCGUAGAAGUGUAGAAACUGAAGCACAAGAAUGUCAUGUCACUGAAAAAUCCCUAGUAUUCUCAA